CCCAGCAAUGGGCAACCGGCGAACGGGUGCGUAACACGUGAGCAACCUACCGAACUGUGGGGGAUAGCCGGCCUAACGGCCGAGUAAUACCGCAUACGCUUUCGAUGAGGCAUUUCAUUGAAAGGAAACCUACGGGACAGAUCGAGGGGCUCGCGGCCUAUCAGCUAGUUGGCGAGGUAACGGCUCACCAAGGCGACGACGGGUAGCUGGUCUGAGAGGAUGGCCAGCCACAUUGGGACUGAGAUACGGCCCAGACUCCUACGGGAGGCAGCAGUGGGGAAUCUUGCGCAAUGGCCUAACGGCUGACGCAGCGACGCCGCGUGUGGGAUGAAGCUCCUCGGAGUGUAAACCACUGUUGCCCGGGACGAAUAGCUCGAUUAAUCGAGCCUGACAGUACCGGGUGAGGAAGCACCGGCUAACUCCGUGCCAGCAGCCGCGGUAAUACGGGGGGUGCGAGCGUUGUCCGGAAUCACUGGGCGUAAAGGGCGCGUAGGUGGUUUGAUAAGGGUGUGGUGAAAGUCCGGGGCUCAACCCCGGAUCUGCCGUGCCGACUGUCAAACUCGAGGGCUGUAGAGGCAGGCGGAAUUCCGGGUGUAGCGGUGGAAUGCGUAGAGAUCCGGAGGAAGACCGGUGGCGAAGGCGGCCUGCUGGGCAGUUUCUGACACUGAUGCGCGACAGCGUGGGGAGCAAACAGGAUUAGAUACCCUGGUAGUCCACGCCGUAAACGAUGGGUACUAGGUGCCUGGGGGAGCGACCCUCUGGGUGCCGGCGCUAACGCAGGAAGUACCCCGCCUGGGGAGUACGACCGCAAGGUUG
rnacentral:rRNA from 1 species